rnacentral:rRNA from 1 species
GAUGAACGCUGGCGGCGUGCUUAACACAUGCAAGUCGAACGGAAAGGCCCAAGCUUGCUUGGGUACUCGAGUGGCGAACGGGUGAGUAACACGUGGGUGAUCUGCCCUGCACUUCGGGAUAAGCCUGGGAAACUGGGUCUAAUACCGGAUAGGACGUUGGGCUGGAUGCUGUUGUGGAGAGUUUUUUCGUUGUGGGAUGGGCUCGCGGCCUAUAAGCUUGUGGGCGGGGUGUGGGCCUACACAGGCGUCGACGGGUCGCCGGCCUGGGAGGGUGUACGGCCACAGGGGGACUGGGAUACGGGCCAGAGUCCUACGGGAGGCAGCAGGGGGGAAUAUUGCACAAUGGGCGCAAGCCUGAGGCAGCGACGCGCCGUGGGGGGUGAGGGACGUCGGGUUUUAGACUCCUAUCGCUAGUGACGAGGCGUGUUAGUGACGGUACCGGGAGAAGAAGCACCGGCUAACUACGUG